rnacentral:tRNA from 2 species
GGGGCCGUAGUCCAGCUUGGCAGGAUGCGCGGCUCGGGCCCGCGUGGACCCGGGUUCAAAUCCCGGCGGCCCCA